GGGGUCUUAGUUUAAUUAAAAAUUUAUGUUUUGCACACAUAAGAUACAGACUCUA
rnacentral:tRNA from 1 species